AGACGAGGGUUAUGUUCUUCUGC
rnacentral:siRNA from 1 species